GAAUAGCCGAUUUAGUAGAGACCAUGAAUCUCGUGGAGAUAGGAGUGGAUCUGGGAAAGAUAGCAAGCAACAUAAUGUACCUGCAGUCCGGGAGAGAGACAGACAUAAUUCACAUUACGAGUACCAUCCAGUUGGGCCCCACAACAGUGGCAAAGCAAACAACUUGGAAGUUCCCAAAGAUGUUUCCCAUAACUACUCUGGGACAGGGUAUAGAGAGAGGGGCCAGGGUCACUCGAGGCAUGGUGCGGGCAACUUUUAUGGACGGCAAACUGGCAGUGUUCAAGUAGAUGCUGGUCACGACUAAGGAGAAAUUCAGAGAGGGGUUUUUUGGUAGUGCCUAAAACCAGCUUCCAAAGAUAUUUGUGGCUCGAUCUCUAACACUUUCAGGGCUUGGAGUAUGCAGAGGGUGUCAAGGCCAAAAAA
rnacentral:misc_RNA from 1 species